UACGGAGGGGGCUAGCGUUGUUCGGAAUUACUGGGCGUAAAGCGCACGUAGGCGGCUUUGCAAGUUAGAGGUGAAAGCCCGGGGCUCAACUCCGGAAUUGCCUUUAAAACUGCAUCGCUAGAAUUGUGGAGAGGUAAGUGGAAUUCCGAGUGUAGAGGUGAAAUUCGUAGAUAUUCGGAAGAACACCAGUGGCGAAGGCGGCUCACUGGCCCGAUACUGACGCUGAGGUGCGAAAGCGUGGGGAGCAAACAGG
rnacentral:rRNA from 1 species